GAGAAUAGCAUUGGGCCUAAUGUUGAUUGU
rnacentral:piRNA from 1 species